AGUGAACGUUGGCGGCGUGGAUUAGGCAUGCAAGUCGAGCGAGAACCGUAGCAAUACGGGGACAGCGGCGAAAGGGACAGUAAUGUGUAGGUACCUACCUCCGGGUUCGGGAUAGCUGCGGGAAACUGCAGGUAAUACCGAAUAAUGUCUCCGGACCAAAGGUGUGAUUCCACCUGGAGAGGGGCCUGCAUCCUAUUAGCUUGUUGGCGGGGUAACGGCCCACCAAGGCGACGAUGGGUAGCGGGUGUGAGAGCACGACCCGCGUCAUUGGGACUGAGACACUGCCCAGACACCUACGGGUGGCUGCAGUCGUGAAUCUUCGGCAAUGGGCGCAAGCCUGACCGAGCGACGCCGCGUGCGGGAUGAAGGCCUUCGGGUUGUAAACCGCUGUCGUAGAGGAGGAAAUGCAGGGGGGUUCUCCCCUCUGUUUGACCUAUUCUAGGAGGAAGUACGGGCUAAGUUCGUGCCAGCAGCAGCCGCAG
rnacentral:rRNA from 1 species